UACGAAGGGGGCUAGCGUUGCUCGGACUCACUGGGCGUAAAGCGCACGUAGGCGGAUUGUUAAGUCAGGGGUGAAAUCCUGGAGCUCAACUCCAGAACUGCCUUUGAUACUGGCGAUCUCGAGUCCGGGAGAGGUGAGUGGAACUGCGAGUGUAGAGGUGAAAUUCGUAGAUAUCAAGCGGAACACCGGUGGCGAAGGCGGCUCACUGGCCCGGUACUGACGCUGAGGUGCGAAAGCGUGGGGAGCAAACAGG
rnacentral:rRNA from 1 species